AGCACACUUCCGUGCAAAUACCUGCCAAAGCCUACACCAAGAUCUGGACAUCACUAGUAUGAGCUAGGUACUUAUAAAAGAAAACCGAAACGGCAGAGAUCUGAUCCUUUAAAGUACAGGUAAAUGUUGCUUUUUCAAGAAUGAUUUGGAGACAUUCCAGCAGUCUGGGUACAGAAAGGACUGCCACAGAAAUUUGUGAGAAGUUACACCAAA